GACGAACGCUGGCGGCGUGCCUAAUACAUGCAAGUCGAACGCAGUGGGGACGGGUGAGUAACACGUGGGUAACCUCCCAUCAGAGGGGAUAACACUUGGAAACAGGUGCUAAACCGACACUGAUGGAUGGACCCGCGGGGCACUAUCUAGUUGGUGAGGGAACGGCUCACCAAGGCCACGAUGCAUAGCCGAAAUGAGAGGGUGGUCGGCCACACUGGGACUGAAACACGGCCCAGACUCCAACGGGGGGCAGCAGUGGAGAAUCUUCGGCAAUGGACAAAAGUCUGACCGAGCAACGCCGCGUGAGUGAAGAAGGUUUUCGGAUCGUAAAACUCUGUUGUUAGAGAAGCGGUAUCUAACCAGAAGGCCACGGCUAACUACGUGCCAGCAGCCGCGGUAAUAC
rnacentral:rRNA from 1 species